CCUACGGGUGGCAGCAGUCGAGAAUCAUUCACAAUGGGGGAAACCCUGAUGGUGCGACGCCGCGUGGGGGAAUGAAGUUCUUCGGAUUGUAAACCCCUGUCAUGUGGGAGCAAAUUAAAAAUAUAGUACCACAAGAGGAAGAGACGGCUAACUCUGUGCCAGCAGCCGCGGUAAUACAGAGGUCUCAAGCGUUGUUCGGAAUCACUGGGCGUAAGGCGUGCGUAGGCUGUUUCGUAAGUCGUGUGUGAAAGGCGCGGGCUCAACCCGCGGACGGCACAUGAUACUGCGAGACUAGAGUAAUGGAGGGGGAACCGGAAUUCUCGGUGUAGCAGUGAAAUGCGUAGAUAUCGAGAGGAACACUCGUGGCGAAGGCGGGUUCCUGGACAUUAACUGACGCUGAGGCACGAAGGCCAGGGGAGCGAAAGGGAUUAGAUACCCGAGUAGUC
rnacentral:rRNA from 1 species